GAUGAACGCUAGCGGCAGGCUUAAUACAUGCAAGUCGAGGGGCAGCAGGACUGUAGCAAUUCAGUUGCUGGCGACCGGCACACGGGUGCGGAACACGUACGCAGCUUACCCUGGACUGGGGGAUAGCCCGGGGAAAGCCGGAUUAAUACCCCGUAAUAUAAUGGAGUGGCAUCACUUUAUUAUUAAAGCUCCGGCGGUUCGGGAUGGGCGUGCGGCUGAUUAGGUGGUUGGUUGAGGUAACGGCGCACCAAGCCUACGAUCAGUAACUGGUGUGAGAGCACGACCAGUCAGACGGGCACUGCGGCACGGGCCCCUCUGCUACGCGACGCAGCAGUAAGUAAUAUUGGGCAAUGGAGGCAACUCUGACCCAGCCAUGCCGCUUGGAGGAUGAAGGCCCUCUGGGUUGUAAACUUCUUUUAAAGGGGACGAAUCCUGUUUACUCUUACGCAGUUGACGGUACCCUAGGAAUAAGCACCGGCUAACUCCGUG
rnacentral:rRNA from 1 species